GACGAACGCUGGCGGCGUGCCUAAUACAUGCAAGUAGGACGCAGUUGCGAACGGGUGAGUAACGCGUAGGUAACUACCUAUUAGAGGGGGAUAACUAUUGGAAACGAUAGCUAAUACCGCAUACUAGUAGAUGGACCUGCGUUGUAUUAGCUAGUAGGUGGGGUAAUGGCCUACCUAGGCAACGAUACAUAGCCGAGCCGAGGAGGUUAGCGGCCACACUGGGACUGAGGCCCCGCCCCAACUCCUACGGGGGGGAGCAGUAGGGAAUCUUCGGGAAUGGGGGGAACGCUGACCGAGCAACGCCGCGUUAGUGAAGAAGGGUUUCGGAUUGUAAAGCUCUGUUGUUAAGGAAGCGGUACUUAACGAGAAAGGGACGGCUAACUACGUGCCAGCAGCCGCGGUAAUUC
rnacentral:rRNA from 1 species